rnacentral:lncRNA from 1 species
GAGAUCACCAAGAAAACCGACAAGUUGAGAGCGAAUGUACAGAGGGAGUUAAGUGUCAACACUAGGAAAUGGAAGUUCCAUGUGCCGUUUCCCUCCAUCUUCGACUUCUCUAGAAAGAUCCACGGUAGAAACAAGCAAACAGCACUACGUAGAGAUAAAGAACACCUUUAGGCUUUGAAUCAUGAUAAAGAAUUGAAGAUGUGUUCUUCUUACCUGCAGGGGCUGACAUAGUACAUGAGAGAGAUUGGGUUUAACUUGAUGCCUUUCCUCUUGACAAGUAUCUCCAUGAAGAUAAGCCGCAACGCUUCUCCAACGACGCCACCCAUUUGGUAAACUACACCG